ensembl:lncRNA
ACGCAGAGUUCAUGCUUAGCUUUGUUUGAUUUGAGGGAUUUACAGGAUCACCUUAGAAAAAAAAUGUGUUUCUGUCACCAUCAAGUAGUAGUGAUUUACUUGUGAUAUUCGCCAUUGUUAGUUGAUAUGUCUUUAACAAGAAAACAAGCAAAUGAUAGUUUAGGAUGUGCUGCUAGACCAUUUCUAGAGGAGAGGUAGAUGGGCGAAAGUAUUUGGUUUAAGCUGAGGUUGUAAAUUCAUCCUUGGAGAUGUGGUCAUAAAGAGGUGGAGGCUGAAAAUGAAAGGUACUCAGGGUUCCUACGCAGGUCUGUAAAACAUGAAGAAAAACUGGCAGAGUGAACUCAACUCGCUCUUCACUCGCACCUAAUGCAGUUAUACUGAUUUGAAUCAUUAUCGUAAACGCAGCAUUUGUACUGAGAGCUGUGGCUUUGAAACUUUAUGUGCUUUUCUUUGUUUUCUAUAAUGUUACAAAUAUGGAUGCCCAUAUUAAAUAUUGCCAAAUUUUCAAGUAAUAAGGUAAGCUUCUAUAAAAGUAACUGCUGUGAGCUCUAAUCCCAGAUGUUACACAGUUCUAAAGGCUUAGUUUAAUGUUUUUUUCUGCUCUUGUGUCUAUCUGAUGUCAGCUUGGUGCAUAUUUCCUUAUAUGGUCAGCCACAGCUCUGGCUUUCCUACAAUCCGGAUGUUCAGUCUGACGUCACUAGCCGUGUCUGGGCCUAAACUCCGCUGCAGGUUAAAAACUGAGCUUAAAUAAAUGAUUAGUGGUAAUAAAAGCCGAGGGAGGUCAACAGUGAUCACUGACUGUUUUAGGAGCUUUUUGAGAUCAAAUAGAAGAAAAUACAUAACAUUAAACAUGUUAACAACACAAAAGCCAUAUUAAACGCAGACUACUUUAGACCCGGAAGUAGGAUUCGUCGCGUCAUCACUGAACAACCAGAUAAGAAGGCAAGGGUGCAAGACAGCCAAUCACAACAAAGAGGCCAGAAUGUUUCAUUUAGAUGAUGCGCUGGGUGGCUAUUUAAGAUAAGAUAAGAUAGAACUUUAUUAAUCCCUCGGGUGGGUUCCUCUGGGAAAUUCGAAAUAUUUAAAGGGCCAGUAUAAGGUAAAUUAUUGAAAACAUUUUUUAAACUGCUAAUCAAGCAGAAACCACAACAGAAAAUGAGCAUUAAUGGCCCCUUUUAACAUUUUCUUUAAAUUUCUUUGAUAAUAUUUCUGUCAGUCACAGGCUCGAUUCAGUGGUGAGUUGUCAAACUGUAAGUCAUAAAUUACUUAAAGGGUCUAAACACUUAGUUUCAAAUUUACAUAUUUCAAAAAUAGUAUUAAAUAUUUAUGAGGAAACCAACAACAUUCAGAGUUAAAGGCAUCCUGUGGAGUUUUUGACCACUGGCAACAUUAUGGAGCAGCGUGUCCUGUUUUCAUACAUCUAAAAUUAGAAAAUGUAGUAAUAUAAUGGUUUUCCCUGCUGAUGGCUUUUAGUUUUUUUGUUUUGUUUUGUGUUUAAAUCAGCUUUGUUAAUGUUUUACGAAUAGGAAAAAGCAUUGAGCUGGGCUGUUAGAUCUGCAGGAUAUGCUUACAGAGAAACAAAACCUCUGCAGGCCCUGUCGCCGCUGUUGCUCUAUGAGGUUCCCAAAAUUCACCAGCAGUGUUUUUAUGUUUUUUGUUUUGUUUCAUCUCACAUUUUUCCACAUCCGGCCUUCCUAUUUUAACCCAGGGCAAACAGCACAGACAGACUCAUAGAGCAUGCUGCUCUGUGAGAAAAGUGCUAGGUACAGCUUGAAUAUUUUUCUUUAUGAGUCAGCGUGUAUUUAGUGACUCAUAAUGUGGCAUGCGCUGAGUUAAAAUACCAAAUCUGACACCCCCCUAAAAAUGGUUAUGAAGAUUUGUCAAUAGAAGCUGCGUAGGAACUGUGAGCGCCAACUUCUGCAGCACCUGCUUCAUCCAUGUGAAAUAAGACCUGUGUGAGAGAACAAUCACAUCUCUCCGAGAUUGUUGUUAUAACUUCGGGGAUAUCAUCCCCUGACAUUAUUACUGAGGUAUGUUCUUAUUAGCUGUUUUACAUUUUACAUGUACUUUAACCAACAUUCUUACUGAGAACGAUUAAAGAGUAUCCAUUAUGCUUUACCUAAUUUUCUGUCAUAUUCAUAUAUAUAUAUAUAUAUAUAUAUAUAUAUAUAUAUAUACUGUUACAGAAGUGGAUGCUCAUAUCAAACAUGGCCAAAAUUUCAAGCACUGAGGUGAAAAAGGCUUCAGCCUGCUCUAAUCACCCAGUUUCAGACAGUUAUGGGGGGGUCUGUGCCUAAUUUGUUCGUCUCAGCUAAUCAGAAGAAAGCUGGCUUAAAGGGAAAAGAGCCAACACUGGUUGUUUUCAGUGGCAAGCUGAAGACCCAGUAUAUGAUAAAUAAAGAUUACUUUGAGCUAUAAAUCAUUAAAGGCUAUUGUGAGAGCCCAAGAAUAAAAACACAACAAACAUGGAGCUGGAAAUGAGCACAAGAAGUCCACUUUAAGCUGUGCCUGUGCUUCUGAUAUGAGCUCCGUUGGUGUAUUACUGUAUUGUCAUUGUACUUGAUUUCAGUGUUUUUCUUCUUCUUUGCACAUAACAGAUUUUACAGGAUGUUUUGGUGUUGCUGUGGCUGAUUCUGGACACUCUUUAUCUCUCUCUCUCUCACACACACACACACACACACACGUGUACACUCAUGCUUUCGUGCCUUGUCCUGCUGCUGGACAUCCUCUCGCCUACAGCUGCUCCAUCGGCAACACACACCUGCUACCAUUUGCCAUUUUUUCCCACAAACACGUGCACACAAAAGCACACACAUGCACAUCUUCUGGCUGAGAACUGUGCCUUCUGAGCUGUACAUACACACACCUUCAUGAAACACGCUCUUCUGCCUUCUGGUCACGGUACAAAAGUCCCCUGGUGUUCACUCCUUACUGUCAUUGUUUUCUAAAGAUGGCUGAGGGAGAGAUGUAAACUCGUGAUGCAGCGUGACUCACGGUGAAUUCAUAUUGGGCCCUUUGCUUCUUUUUGGGACACAGGGUAGAUACUCGUGAGGCAAGAUAGACGGCAGACGGAGAGAGCUUGAAUCUGCUUUAUUCAAGUCCGCGACUCUGCGGGUACCUGUCCUGUUCUUGUCUGUUUUGAAGCACGCCGCGAGUGUAAAACAGCAGAUGCAGAUGAUAACAAAGCAGCUAAAAUCGUAGACGUAUCACUGUACUGCUUCUGUGGUGAACUUGAGCCUGGUUCGGUGUUUUCUUAAAAUCGUCAGCUGCCACAUUCAGAAUGAAUGUGUAAAUUGUUUUGGAGAUAAUGUGGCUUUUAUGCAGACAUUAUUUAUGUUGCUCUCCGGUAGCAGUGUAACACAUUCCUAUCAAAAGCCGUAACUGUAACCCCCCCCCACAAACAGACCAGAUCUUGUUCUGACAUUGAAACAGUUUUCAGCUUCCUGGCUCACAGCUGUAGACCUGAACAUCGUGAUAGAAAGAGAUAAGUGGCAGGGUGAUCCCUUUCGGGUGUACCAGCCUAGAUUAGUGUGGAGUUUUUCCCUCCACCUACAUGACACAGAUCUAAAGUAGGUCUUUUCUCUGACCCAAUACACUCAUUUUUCUUUUCUCCUGGAGAACCAGUUUUCUGGUUAGGUUCUGUGUUGUAACUUUGUAGGAAACAACUGACAGCAUUUCAGUUAAAUUUGUGCUUGUGUGCUUGUGCUAGGCUGUGAAAUUUGAUUGCGUGGCUCACUGAGGCUGACUUACAGAAAAUGCUGAGUUUAAACUGGACUGAUUUAAUACAAUUAUACAAUAAUUUUAGAUCGGACUACCCCGACCAUCCCUGUGCUAAAAGCUGAUUUGUUCGUGCUGUCAGUGGAAUCCAGGUCCCCGAUACAUCCAGGACUAUUUUUACUCAGUUUUGUCUCACGUGUCAUGUGCUGCUGCUCGGUGAAGCCACAAACAUCACCCAAUUACUGAUCGCCUGAAACUAUGUUAUCGAGCUUUGUGACGCUGCACGGGGAGUUUACCACACUUUCCAUUUUCGUGGAUAGAAACAGAGGCACAUUAAACGAAUUGGCUGCAUUGUUUAUGGGGUAAUCAAAAAGAAUGAGUGAAGGGAACUAAGACCAUUUCAAAACACCAGAUCAGCGAAAAAAAGGAAGCUGGACAAUAAUGUUUAUAGCGUCACAUACAGAAAUUUUAAAGGGAAAAUCAUAAAACUCUACCAAAACCUACCAAACUGUAGGUUAAUGUUUGAGUUAUAAUGAUUUUAAUUGUGGACUGACCUGCUUUCACCAACAUGGAUUAGGAGAUUUGGCUCCCAUGCAGCAAUACGGCAAAUUGUUGCCGGGCACUGAACCGAAAACUAAUGAAGCUAACAUAAUGCAGACUGGUGCUUUUGAGUGCUUUGUUUUAGUGUUACACAUUUAGUAAGAAAACUGUUUUUCCCUGAAAGAUGGAAUCUGAACCCCUUUGUGCUCCACGUAUUUUCUACCCAUUAAUAUGAACAGACAGUUUGGAAGCGGGACCAGUGGAGGAAAUUCAGGUGGGGUGGAACCCAAAGACUGUUUAUAGAAGAAAGAAGUAGCCACUGUGACAUCACUCAUUUGUUAGUGAAUGAGAUGAGCGUUUUUGAAACCAGCAGUUUUAAGAGCAGGCCAUAUCUGGUGGACACUGCUCGUUGGUUCACCACGUGUCCGUUGCACAGGAGAUAAACACCGCUUCAUCGUUAUUCUGGAAACUAAUUUGAACCAUAAUUUGCAAAAUGAACAUUAUGUUUUCAGCUAACAGUUAAGACCAUUGACUCACAAUAAAGGUACUUAAAAAUGUGAUAAAUUUAACAUAUUUAUCCAUUGGCGCUCUCUUUAAACCUGAAGCUAUGCCCAUCUUUUAUAUACAGUCUAUGUUCCCAUAGACAGGUUUUAGUCUUUAAUGAUAAACAAACAAGAUGCAGCAUGUUAAUAAAUGAGCUUUAGAGGCACUGGUAUGAGGACAGAUGAGGCAUUUUGAGUUUUUGUCAAAAAUAAAUAAAUCUUAAAUCAUUACUUAAUUUGACAGGAACAAAUAAAAUUGGAUCAAUUUGUGGUUGUCUAGCAGAGGUAAAUGAUAGAUAACCUGUGCCGGAUUAAUAGUUUAAUUCAUUCGCCUCGUUCUGUUUCUUUCCAUUUGCUGUGGUUGAAUCUCUGUGUCACUCUGAAGUAAUGGAGAAUAGCUUUGUGCAGUAGGGACAGACAUUGCACUGGCUGUUUGAAAAAGAGUUUGUAGGAACAAAUACAUCAUGAUCAAAACACUGCCAGUGCUGGCUGUUGGCAUCGUUACAUCGCCGGCUCCUCCUGCCAGCCUGCUGAGGUGGGAACAGCCACAAGCUGCUCCUUCCUCAUCAGUUCACUGGUCUGCACUGAACAGAAACGGCUCUUUAGCAGCAGCAGCAGCAGCAGCAACAGUCAGUGAGCUGCAGACAGCCCAUGUCAGACUGUCUCUGUGGAUUGUAACGCCAACACUCAUACAUACCUCCGUUAGCUGUUGUCCCAGUACUCUACAGUGAGCUAGACAAAACACCAGUCUUAUAAAGUAGGCUUAAAGGCUGCUUAGUGAAUGCAUCUGUCGCAACAACAAAACGAGUAGUCAGAUAUUUAAACACUAACGUUUGGAGGGUUAAGACCUCUCCAUGUGGACGGUUUCCCGUUAUUGCUGUAUGGAUUUGUCAUUGUCUAGUCCGGCUUUAAUGUCUCAUUCCUUGGUAGGAAUACCUUUUGGACAACAUGUAUUUACUGCACUCAAACAUCUGUAUGAUAUGUGAACAGACUCUUUGUAUCUUAUGGCAUUGUACAAAUAAAAGCUUCAUGAAAGAUGA